rnacentral:rRNA from 1 species
UACGAAGGGGGCUAGCGUUGUUCGGAAUUACUGGGCGUAAAGCGCACGUAGGCGGACUACUAAGUCAGGGGUGAAAUCCCGGGGCUCAACCCCGGAACUGCCUUUGAUACUGAUAGUCUCGAGUCCGGAAGAGGUGAGUGGAAUUCCGAGUGUAGUGGUGAAAUUCGUAGAUAUUCGGAGGAACACCAGUGGCGAAGGCGGCUCACUGGUCCGGUACUGACGCUGAGGUGCGAAAGCGUGGGGAGCAAACAGG